rnacentral:sRNA from 1 species
UCCAAUCACCAGGUGGGCCCCGGGUGGCGGC